UGAGCAUGUGGGCUUUACAGGGCUUCUGGUUUGAAGGAUGCAAAAAUAGCAAGUAGAUAUUUGUUUUGUUUUGAGACAGGGUCUCAAGUAGCCCAGGAUGGCCUUGUAUCAAAAAUGACUUUGAAGUGCUGAUCCUUUUGCCUCCAUCUCUCAAGUGCAGGGAUUUCAGGCUUAUACACCAGACUUAGCAGAUUUCAGGCUGGGGGACUCAGCCCAUCUGAUAAGCAGUGCACUGUCUACAUUGUGAAAGAAAGCCCCCAACACACCUAGAGUCUACAAGGACUGAGCAGUAAGCACUGCCACAUCUGCUAAAUGAAGAGCCCUGUGUGAGUGCGGCUGGAGGUGCAGGUGUCAGAGACAGUAUAUCUGGAUACAAGUCAUCAUCACCCAAUUUGGCUGGGCUCCAGAAGUGACACUCUGUCACAGACAUGAGGAACACUGCUCUCCUGAACAGCCCCAGCUGCCAUCAGGUGGAAGGGACCCUGCUUCAGAGCAGGGCCUCAGCUGUUCUCAGCCAAGCUCUCCCCACCUCACAGCACUUUGGACUCCUCUGAAGGAACUCCUUCCUGAAAUGAACAACAGGAAGCAGUAGACAGGAGACCUAGCUGGUCCUCUGUGAAGUGGGGACCACCUUGGGAGAUGCUGACUAGAGGCCCUGUUGACCCUGGGACACUACUCCCUGUGUCAGGCCACUCAGCCACCAAGCAGAGGGAGCUGCGGCUGAGAGGGAAGGCCAAACCUGGAAGCAGAGCUGGACUGAUCCAGACCUAGCAGGAUUUCCUUAUAGCCCCAGCUGACCUGGGACUGAUAUGUAGACCAGCUGUCCAGGAUCUCACAGAGGGCGUUGGGAUUAAAGGGAGAAGCAGUUGGACUGCAGAUGGAAAACCGGGGGAUAGAAGAGAACAGGACUCAGAAUUGCAAGCUGCCCCAAGGUGGCCUGGAAUAGACCUGAGGUGAAGACAGAAGACAGGACCUUUGGGACAGAAACAUGACCCAGAGGGCAGACCCUUCUGAUGUGCCCAGGUCUCAUGGUCCUGCCUUGCUUGGAGGAUCUCAUCAUGGAAGGAUUUUGACAGGACAAGAGCCACUCUGAGUAUGAACAAGCUGUGACAGUCAUUACAUUGCCUAGGAACAUCAAGAAACCGUCAUAGAAAAUGGCUUCCAGACCCCAUGGCCCUACUGUGAUUUGGGGACAAAGAUGCAGGGCUAUUCCUAGACAUUGGAAUAGCCUGGGUGAAGAGGCCCUAGAGCAGAGAGUGCAAGAGGCCUCAGAUGGUCGAGAUGAUCGUUCUUGAUAACAUGCUGGAGUGCAGGGGAGAAAGAGUGUCUGGGACAUGCCCUGUAUGUUGGCUGCAAGUAGGGGAAGGAAACCAAGAAGAUGGCUGCAAGUAGGGGAAGGAAACCAAGAAGACUGCCCUUGGCUGACGACAAGGAUCUGCAUGACGUCUUCUUUGACCUUGAGAGUGCUUCUGCCUGACCUGCCUGGCAGAAAAGGAGCUGGAACUUUCCCCUUUGGCACUAUCUGUCCGAGGGAAGCUUCCGGACAUCGCGGGCAUUGCCCAGGUACCACGUCUUCUCAAAAUGAGUCCAACUCCCAGCUGAAGCUUGGGGACAAGGUGAAUGGGGGUGUGAGAUGGAUUUGCUAGCACCUGCCUUUAAGGGGGCUGAACUGAGAUACUAAGAGGAUGGAAGCCUGUUUGGGCCACUGGCCUGAGUCUGUAGGCCCCUGACACCACUGUCACCUCAAUGUAAGGCCCCUCUUACUCCUGGCCCUUUCCUGGGCCGACAGCAUUUGUCUCCUGUUCAGACUUAAGAUCUCUGGUUCUCUUUUACUCCAACUGCUGUGUGACCAUUGAAGAUUCAUCUCACCUCUCUGGACCCCAGUGUGUGACAAUACAUGUUAACCAAAUAGUAGUUGUGCUGCCUGCUGCAAUAUUUAAGGAGAAAAGUUGAUGGUUCACUAGUAUAGCUACUUCUAAAUUCUUAUUUCUCUAAGAGAAAACGAAUGAGCAUUAUCUUUGUUUGUUGUUUGAGAGGAGCUCAUGCAGCUCAGGCUGGCUAAUUGCUAGGCAGCUAAGGAUUAUGUUGAACUCCUGAUCCUCCUGUCUCUGCUUCUGAAAUACUUGGGUUAUCCAGGGCUUUGUGUAUGCCAGGCAAGCACUCUCCUAACUGAGCUGCAUCCCCAGCCCCCACCCUUCUAUCUGAGGAAAACAAAGCAGAACGGCUGGAAUGGCAAUCACUACUUAAAAAUGACCACUGCUGAGGUUGCUGUGUUGGGUGGCUUUCCUCCCCCCCAUUUACACUACUGCAGACAGUGGAUUCACCUGUGACCAGAACACAGGGCUCCUGCCCUUCUGGUGACAGUGGGAAGAGCUCACUCCACAGGGGUGCCUCGGGUGUGUCCUGACCCCUCUCUCCAGCUCUGCCACCAUCCAUUUCCUCCAAAAAAAGGAAUGCUGUCUUUUCUUGUGUAAAACACCAUUUUGGCAAGACAGGCAUAGGAUGUUAUGAGAGAUGCCAGGGCCCACACCUGAGUUGGCUUUAUGCUGGAACUGGGCUCCACCCCUAGCAGUGGCAGGAUUUGCUUCAGCCCCUUGUCUAGGGGGCUGCAGGCUGUUUGUGCCCCCCACCUAGAAGGAGGAAAGUGCCAUGCAGGUUUGGUGGGGGCCUCCCCUUUCCUAGCCCUUGUGGGGGGCCAGGGGCUAGGGGUGAGGCUGGCCUAAAAGCUCCAGCCAGCGAUAUCAGGGGAUGGUUAUGGGGUACUGGCUAGCCAGCUCCUGGACACAGAGAAACACCCUGUGCCACUGCCCAGUCAGGAGCCAGGACCUGGCUAGCUCUCCUGGCGCUUGGAGCUUCUCAGAGUCCUUUCUUUGCACCCCAAAUGUUGUGAAAAAGGACGGGGUGGUGAGGUGGUUGAAAGAGGAGGAGAAAGUGAGGAGAAAACCAGCCUGGUUUCUAUAGCAACCACACAUGUGAGCCAGCUGCUGUCGCCAUGGAAACAAGGGGAGCCUGCUCAGAGGCUGCACUGUCUCAGGGGAGACACUAUUUUUGAAAAAAAAAAAAAAAAAAAAAAAAAAA